rnacentral:lncRNA from 1 species
AUAAAAAUCCUACAUACAUUAGCAACUGGAACAACAUGCAUAUGCAGAAGAAUAAGGGCAUUUCGAUCAAUGAGGCUGCUUAAAUUAAAGAGGUAAGGGGCAGUUCCUGUUUUCACAAAAUGGUUGCUAGCCAUGUCCUGUUAUGUAUAGACCUAGCCGUGUUGCAUAACCUAGUUCAAACUAGCACCAUUGUUGAGCCAUUAAAUGUAGUCUGUUUUUCAGAGCCAAAAUCUCUCUCUUUUCUUCUUUUUCUUGUUUUACAUCUCAAAACUGCUCUAAAGGGUCCAGACCACUAUCUAAUGAAACUUUAAAAGAAUAAUUGCUAUAAUAUUGCUCGUUGCUUAUGUUUGCUUCUAGUCCAUAAAUGUAAUGAAUCAAGUCUAAUGAAAUUAAGUUUAAUCCUAUGAUUGUGUCACUGUUUUUUUUAAACCUUGCUUCUUGUACUGAACUAUGAAAUUUUUUUUAUAAUUUUUUUUUUCCAGAUUAGUGCUGAAGUCUAUUUUGGAUUUUAUUUUUGACAUACUUCCUUAACUUCGAAUGCCAUGAAAUUUUAAUGUGAUGAAGUUUUGUAUGUCUAGUUAUGAUCUGGAAAGUUCUGCACUAUUUUACCUCAAAAUGAGUUUUUAGUGAAUUUCCCAAUUUGAAGUGUUCCUGCCCAAAUUGUAUAACAAAAUAUAUAUUUGUUCAUCAAUGAGUUACUGAAAACUACUUCAUACCCUUUUUGGGUUUGUGGUUCUCUUUAUCUUAUAAUGUGUUUAGAACAAUAUAGGACUCAAACUUUACUGAGGUAAUAUAUUGUUUUUGCAUGUCAGAUUAUUUGAGGAGGUGGAAGGAUUUGGUUUGUGGUUUUGGACAGAGGACCAUUUGAGGUAAGAACCUCUUCUUCUCGUUACACUUAGUUCCAUUUGUUUUCUUAUUAACAGCUAUAGUGGUUGUCAAUGUCAUUGUAGUGUUGUUUGUUUAAAGUUAUUAAAAUGGCAUACAUGUUUUGUAUUGUGUUGAGAAGUUAUGCAACCCAUGUUGGUUAAUGAGUGGAUUAUACUUUGGAUUUUAUGAUUUAUUUUUUCUAAUGGGUUUGUGCUAUGCAUGAUAUUAGUCUUUACAUUUAUUAAUUUGUGGUAUUUGUUAUUAUCACAAAGGUAUGCUUUAGACAGUUAAUAUUGAGAGGUAUGAAAAAUGAAUUCAGAUUUUAUUAAGUUUGUUCAAAUACCAUUCUUGAAUAUUCUUAAAUAUUGAUGACCAGUAAUCAUUUUUCUUAUGUAGAUCCACUCUUUUUAAUGGCUUAUUUAGUUAAGAUUGUGAAUUUCAGCUUUUGGGCAAGAUUUCCUGUAAUUGUGUUGUAUAAAAUUGUUUGUUUUUGGUCUCUUAAGUAUAUUUUUAUAUUCAAAUUUUCUUGGUUUUGGCUUCUUCUUGACCAUUGGAAUUUCCUUGUUUUGUUUCUUUUGUAAAGGAAGAUGAUUGAUGAGUUUGAGAAGAUCAAGCAACAAUUGGUAUCGUUUGGGAAUUCCACAAUAUUAGAUCACAGUCCCUAUCCCACAGGUGUUAAAGAUCACGACUACCAAACUCAGAAUUACAAAAGGCAUAGUAUACAUGCAUAUUUUUUUU